rnacentral:rRNA from 1 species
CCAUGCCGCGUGCGGGAAGAAGGCCUUCGGGUUGUAAACCGCUUUCGGCCGGAACGAAAUCGCCCGGGUGAAUAGCCCGGGUGGAUGACGGUACCGGAAGAAGAAGCACCGGCUAACUACGUGCCAGCAGCCGCGGUAAUACGUAGGGUGCGAGCGUUAAUCGGAAUUACUGGGCGUAAAGCGUGCGCAGGCGGUCUCGUAAGACAGGUGUGAAAUCCCCGGGCUCAACCUGGGAACUGCGCUUGUGACUGCGAGGCUGGAGUGUGGCAGAGGGAGGUGGAAUUCCACGUGUAGCAGUGAAAUGCGUAGAGAUGUGGAGGAACACCGAUGGCGAAGGCAGCCUCCUGGGCCAGCACUGACGCUCAUGCACGAAAGCGUGGGGAGCAAACAGGAUUAGAUACCCUGGUAGUCCACGCCCUAAACGAUGACGACUAGUUGUUGGGGUAGAAGUACCUUAGUAACGCAGCUAACGCGUGAAGUCGUCCGCCUGGGGAGUACGGUCGCAAGAUUA